rnacentral:lncRNA from 1 species
GAUUUAUUUUUGACAGAAAGUUGGAGGGGUACUUAUAGGGCAGAAUAUCUUAUACAUUGUCAGAUGAGCCAAUAACAUGUUUCUUUGCCUAUCUGAGGUUUCUUUGCCUAUCUGUUUCUCUUUGUUACACAGGAAGGUUAAAUUUUGCACUAGGACAGGAAAGGGAGUCUUUCCAGAAAUAACUGUGAUUUAAGAACAAAAGGCAUCAAUAAAAAUUGAUUUAUAUAUAUAUAUAUAUAUGAUAAUUCUAUUAGCAUAGAUUUAUAUUAAAGGAACAGACAAAUAAUUACUUACCUGUAAGUAUCUAGCUAAAAGAAAAGGUGUUUUCCGUCCUUGCUUAUCUUAGGUCAUCUGCUGUGGUUCCUAAUUUGCCAAUCCCAUCCACGUAAGGUCAAAAUAAUAGCUUCCACAUAUAUGGAACAGGAAGCCCAAGAACUCAGUUGACCUGUCAGGCCAUUAGAAAUAUUAAAUUAACCCUGUUUCACACAUGAGUAAACUGAGGCUUAGAGGGGUAAAAUAAAUUAGUCCGAGUUUAGUCAGUAAAGUAAUAGAGCCCGUUAAGUAACAGAGCAGAGACUCGGACUAAUAUUCUAUGAUUCCAAAUCCAUAACAUCUACUGUAAAAUCACGACUCCAGGCUUCUCAAAACAAGUUAGUUAAGCUUAUGAUAAAGGAGGAUACAUCCCCACCACUUCUCUUAUCCCAUUAGAAGACUUAAAAGAGAAUUCUAAAAGUAUUCUCUCCACAAUGUGAAAAAGACAUUGGUGUGUCUUUGUCUUGCCUUCUACAGUUUCACCACUGGAGGGAGUAAAACCCAGCAAUACAACCAGAUGUGCGCCCCUUUGGGAGAGAUCUUCAAGGUUGAAUGUUUUACCUCUCUCUUUAAACAAAUGUUCUGCCGCACAAUUGCCCCCAGAAAAACACCGCUAUCUGCUGUGUUUUGUUUCUCCUGUGGUUACGUUUCUAAAAAUAUGUUUCUGCAAAAUCUCCCUCCUGGGCUCGGAAGCUCACAGGCAGGGUCCCUGGGAAUGGUUUUCCAGCUUCCUUUUUGGAGACUUUAUAGGAUUUAAGUAUAGAAGAAUAUUAAAACCAUACAUUUCAAGUGGGAAGGGAUCUUAGAAAUCAUCCAUUUUCCACUGCCACCACCUAUUGCUUUUUCUUAGGCAGCUAGGGGGUGCAGUGCAUCAAGUGCUGGCCCUGGAGUCAAGAUUCAUCUUCCCGAGUUCAAAUCUGGCCUCAGAUUUUACUAGCUGUAUGACCCUGGGCAAGUUGCUUAACCUUGUUUGCCUCAGUUUCCUCAUCUAUAAAAUGAGAAGAAAACGGCAAACCACUCCAAUAUCUUUGCCAAGAAAACCCCAAAUGGAGUCAUAAACAGUUAGAUACGAUUGAACAACUAAGAUUUUUCUCAAAUGCUACGUUGCUGAAGAAUAGAACCCAAUCUGACGUAUUGGAGAUAUUUAUAAAGUUUGUUUUAAUUGACAGUUAUAAAGGUAAAACAAGAUUUUAAAAGGUUGCUUCCUUUGUACUGCCCAUCCCACAUCAGUAGCACCUCUUUCCUUUCUUCAUUUAUUCCCUGUAAAGGAAGACAAAGUCACACAUGAGUUCUAACAAGCUUCACUAUAGCAAUACCUGAGUAAGAUUCACCUACAGUUGAGGAAACCCAGACUCAGUCUAUCUCAGUUAUUUAAUCAGAGAAACUAGACUGGGUAGGGGCAGAGACUUUAAUUUAAAGAGCAAGAUAAGACCUCUGGAAGAGGUGAGAUGGGAAGAUGGUAAUAGGGCUGUAGAAGAUGAGGAAGAGACCAACAUUAGGGCUGGGGAGGCUAGUUACAGAAGUGGAAGCUGAGGGAAGGCAAAACCUUGGGGCUUACCUAUGGGAGGACACUUAAAAUCAGCAGUCUUUAUCAAGAAUAAUGAAGGGAGGAAGUGGAGAAAGAUCUUCAACUAAAGGGCCUUCAGAAAACUUGGAGGGCAAUGCAAAGUGCUUCUAAGUCUAAGCUGUAAAAUAAAUGUUUCCACAAAUCAAGACA